rnacentral:rRNA from 1 species
GCGAAAACUUUACAAUGCGGGGAACCGCGAUAAGGGGACACCGAGUGCCAGCAUCCUAUGUUGGCUGUCCAUAUGUCUAAAUCACAUGUGUUAGCAAGGGCCGGGCAAGACCGGUGCCAGCCGCCGCGGUAACACCGGCGGCCCGAGUGGUGGCCACUAUUAUUGGGUCUAAAGGGUCCGUAGCCGGUUUGGCCAGUCUUCCGGGAAAUCUGACGGCUUAACCGUUAGGCUUUCGGGGGAUACUACCAGGCUUGGGACCGGGAGAGGUAAGAGGUACUACGGGGGUAGGAGUGAAAUCUUGUAAUCCCUGUGGGACCACCAGUGGCGAAGGCGUCUUACGAGAACGGGUCCGACGGUGAGGGACGAAAGCUGGGGGCACGAACC